rnacentral:rRNA from 1 species
AUUGAACGCUGGCGGCAGGCCUAACACAUGCAAGUCGGACGGUAGCACAGAGGAGCUUGCUCCUUGGGUGACGAGUGGCGGACGGGUGAGUAAUGUCUGGGGAUCUGCCCGAUAGAGGGGGAUAACCACUGGAAACGGUGGCUAAUACCGCAUAACGUCGCAAGACCAAAGAGGGGGACCUUCGGGCCUCUCACUAUCGGAUGAACCCAGAUGGGAUUAGCUAGUAGGCGGGGUAAUGGCCCACCUAGGCGACGAUCCCUAGCUGGUCUGAGAGGAUGACCAGCAACACUGGAACUGAGACACCGUCCAGAGUCCUACGGGAGGCAGCAGUGGGGAAUAUUGCACAAGGGGCGCAAGCCUGAUGCAGCCAUGCCGCGCGUAUGAAGAAGGCCUUCGGGUUGUAAAGUACUUUCAGCGGGGAGGAAGGCGGUGAGGUUAAUAACCUCGCCGAUUGACGUUACCCGCAGAAGAAGCACCGGCUAACUCCGUGCCAGCCGCCGCAGUAA